GGAAGUGGGGGAUGUGGGCAGGAACACCAAAGAACCAGUACAGUCAGAUGGUGUAUGAGAAUGGAGAGCCCUGCUGGCAAGGAGGUUCACGCAGUGCUACAGUCACACUGACAUGUGGAACAGAGACAGCCUUGCGAUCGGUGAAGGAGCCCAGCAAAUGCCAGUACAUCAUGGACUUUCAGACUCCUGUGGCCUGUCAGCCAGUGCUAAAGCAGCGGGGCAUACACAGUGAACUGUGACCCUUUCCCUUACUGGCCUAGCCUAGAUUAACUUCCCCACCCCCCACCCCCCUCAAUAGCUAGCCCGCAGUGACAGGCUGGGGUCCUGAGGGUCCCCUCUGACAUCUGUGUUGUCAGAACAUAUAUACUUCUAAGCAAGUCUUGCUAAGGUCAGAAUCAGAUUUUUAGUAACACUGUUCCUAGACCACUUUAGUUUUCAUUGAUUGUUCUGGUGCUGCUUUAUCUCUGUUAUGUGUUAGCAUUGGAAUGCUGCAUUUACUGAAAGAUUUGGUGAACAUAAGUAUUAAUAACACUUUACAUUGUAAGGCUUUACAUUGAAGGCCCAACAUGAUUACUAUGUGAAUAAUUGAAUAAAUACAGUGUCAUACAGUAGAUCAGUUGCAGUGAAUAAUGACAUUGCCACUAAUGUAACUGCUGUGUCAAAUUGCUGUUUAUUCAUACACACAAAUGAAAGGACUGCGUCCCUGUAAUUCAUUAUAGUAGCUACUUUAUUACAGCCUUACAUAACCCUUGAAGGAUAAGUCUGAUUAUAUUUUUCUUAGUGUCAAUAAAUCCAUGAAAAGACUAAAACCAACAAUGAUUUGAUCCUCCUAACAUGUAUCGCCUAUGGAGCCAAAGCCUGAUGGAGCUUAGCAUAGAGUCACUACGCACUGUCCAAACAGUAUGUUUGAAUGAGCCUCACAGUUGCACUGGGUAACACCUUCGUUAUGAUGAACACGGGCACUUCAGUUUAUUUUUAGUUGGUCCCACAUAUGCUUGCUGUAAAUACUGACCGGCUUUUACUAAAUGUGUAUAAAUCCACUGCUGAAAAUAGUCCCCAACAAACACACAACUUAACUCCUGUUUGAAUAACAUUUGCCAAAAACUACAGUACCCAGCUCUUUUAGGAAAUUAUUUCACCUGAUUUUCAAGGUUUUGAGCUGGAACAAAUGGACUGCAUGCUAUAGACAGAGUGAGGAAGUUGCAGAGUAGUGAGAGACUGACACAUUGUUGGUUUUGGUCUUUCUGUCAAAUUUGUUGACAAUAGGAACAAUAUAAGGUAAAGUCAGCCUUGUCCUCAAAGUAUUGUUUUUACUGCUGUAUAGUUACUCAACAACGUUACAUUACUAUGUAGAUAGACAAAGAAAUAAAGUGGCAUUGCUACAAAGGUAA